GAUCCUGGCUCAGAUUGAACGCUGGCGGCAUGCUUUACACAUGCAAGUCGAACGGCAGCGGGGUAGUGCUUGCACUACUGUCCGGCGAGUGGCGAACGGGUGAGUAAUAUAUCGGAACGUACCGAGUAAUGGGGGAUAACCAAUCGAAAGAUUGGCUAAUACCGCAUACGUCCUACGGGAGAAAGCGGGGGAUCGCAAGACCUCGCGUUAUUCGAGCGGCCGAUAACUGAUUAGCUAGUUGGUGGGGUAAAGG
rnacentral:rRNA from 1 species